rnacentral:rRNA from 1 species
UACGGGGGGGGCAAGCGUUGUUCGGAAUUAUUGGGCGUAAAGAGCGUGUAGGCGGCCAGAUAAGUCCGCUGUGAAAUCUCGAGGCUCAACUUCGAGCUGUCGGUGGAAACUAUCUGGCUAGAGUCCGGAAGAGGAGAAUGGAAUUCCUGGUGUAGCGGUGAAAUGCGCAGAUAUCAGGAAGAACACCCGUGGCGAAGGCGGUUCUCCGGGACGGUACUGACGCUGAGACGCGAAAGCGUGGGGAGCGAACAGG